CCGCCCUGCAACCACCGCCGCCGCCGCCCGCCGACGCUGGACUGCCCCCUGGCGUGGACCUGAGCCAACUGAGUGCGGAGGAGCGGGCCAUCAUUGAAGAGGUCAUGCACAAGGCGCAGCAGUUCGACCAGGAGGGCGCCAAAUCCGGGGUCGGCGCCGAUCCGGGGCACCGGCCGCCGGUCAAGUGCGCCCUCUGCCAGAUCCGCGAGGUGCCUCCGAAAUCGAAGACCGAGUGCGUGAGCUGCCGGCAGGUGGUCUGCCAAAGUUGUGGGCAGCACACGGCCGCCGGCCCGU